rnacentral:rRNA from 1 species
AGUGAACGCUGGCGGCGCGCCUAAUACAUGCAAGUCGAGCGAGAAGGUGUAGCAAUACACUUGUAAAGCGGCGAACGGGUGAGGAAUGCAUGGGUAACCUACCCUCGAGUGGGGAAUAACUAGCCGAAAGGUUAGCUAAUACCGCAUACGUUUCCGGAACUUCGGUUUCGGAAGAAAGCAUACCGUGGGUAUUGCGCUCCUGGAUGGGCUCAUGUCCUAUCAGCUUGUUGGUGAGGUAACGGCUCACCAAGGCUUCGACGGGUAGCUGGUCUGAGAGGACGAUCAGCCACACUGGCACUGCGACACGGGCCAGACUCCUACGGAGGCAGCAGUAAGGAAUAUUGCGCAAUGGACGAAAGUACUGACGCAGCGACGCCGCGU